CGAUAUGGAAAAUCAUACCGUGGGUAUUUUGAGAUACCCUGGUAUACAGUAUAUCGGCCUACUCUGGACCCUCAGUAUAUACUACUGCCUGUAUAGGUAUAUUGGCCUACUCUGGACCCUCAGUAUAUACUACUGCCUGUAUAGGUAUAUUGGCCUACUCUGGACCCUCAGUAUAUACUACUGCCUGUAUAGGUAUAUUGGCCUACUCUGGACCCUCAGUAUAUACUACUGCCUGUAUAGGUAUAUUGGCCUACUCUGGACCCUCAGUAUAUACUACUGCCUGUAUAGGUAUAUUGGCCUAUUCUGGACCCUCAGUAUAUACUACUGCCUG